UCACCCCAACACCAACAACAACACCCCCCAUCCCCACACCACAACCCAAUCCCCCACUCCCCCUACCCCCAACACCAAUCUCUUGGUAAUGCCUUCAUUUUUAAUGCUCAAGUAUCUUGUACUUUUAAACCAAAUUUAGACUGCAUUUUUUUUCUUACUGUUAGCAUCAAAUUUAAAGAUAUGGCAACUUCUUGAUUAGAGAAUUGGGGGAUGGUUAGUAACUUAAUGUAUGGCCAUCAUUUGUUAUUAUGUAUUUUGGCAUAUUGUCAUGACUUUGAGCACC
rnacentral:misc_RNA from 1 species